rnacentral:rRNA from 1 species
AGUGAACGCUGGCGGUAGGCCUAACACAUGCAAGUCGAACGGCAGCACAGUAAGAGCUUGCUCUUACGGGUGGCGAGUGGCGGACGGGUGAGGAAUACAUCGGAAUCUACUUUUUCGUGGGGGAUAACGUAGGGAAACUUACGCUAAUACCGCAUACGACCUACGGGUGAAAGCAGGGGAUCUUCGGACCUUGCGCGAUUGAAUGAGCCGAUGUCGGAUUAGCUAGUUGGCGGGGUAAAGGCCCACCAAGACGACGAUCCGUAGCUGGUCUGAGAGGAUGAUCAGCCGCACUGGAACUGAGACACGGUCCAGACUCCUACGGGAGGCAGCAGUGGGGAAUAUUGGACAAUGGGCGCAAGCCUGAUCCAGCCAUACCGCGUGGGUGAAGAAGGCCUUCGGGUUGUAAAGCCCUUUUGUUGGGAAAGAAAAGCAGCAGGUUAAUACCCCGCUGUUCUGACGGUACCCAAAGAAUAAGCACCGGCUAACUUCGUG